UUAAACCAAACAGAAAAAUCAACUUAAGGAAGAUAAAAAUGAAGGAUGCUUACUUGAUUUGAUGCCCUAAAGCUCUGAUACCAAUAUGAUGGGCACUCAUGCAGACACACCCAUGAAUGCAAACCUCUAAUGGCAGCCAAGGAUCACAACAUCAAUCAAGCAUUUCUUUGAACAAAAUGAGAUGCAAUGUCUAUGGAAAAAAGAAGCACCAUAAUAUAUAUUCAAAGAAAAGAUCAAGUGUCAACACAAUAACCCAACCUGUGAGAGAUUACAUUGAUCAUCAAGUAAAAUAGGCAAGUGAUAAAGUUGCCUAAGUUCUAGUUCUUCUAGAAACUAGCAAGAAAGAAAACUCAAACUCUCUCUAAGGGAGGCUCUCAUGUACAGCAGAAAUAAAAACUUAUGGAAGAAGAUGGUAUUCUCUUCCUUAUAAACUUAGGGUUACAGAAACACAAGCUAAAAUUGUUAAGACAAAAGUUACAAAUAAUUGUGCCAUGUUGGCUAUCCUAACAAGAAUAGUAAGUGUAUUAAUUAAAAAGACAAAAAGGUGGUAGCAGCAUUAAUUGGCAAAGGGCAGAAGGUGGCAACAAUUAGUCCCUCUUUGUGGCAGAAUAUUAAGGCCCACUUGGUAAAAAAGUAGCUCUCUUUAAUUCAAAUGAACCAAUGAGUUCCCUUCACGUGGCGUGAACCCUACAAACACCAAGGUGGCUGCCAAGUGGACUCCAAGGUGGCGUGAGGCAUGUCUAAGGUGGCUGGUGACAUGGCAAUAGAAGCUGACAUGGCUGGUGACGUGGCAAGGAAUCUCCAACUUGGCACAUGGUGAUCCACUGAGAUUCUUGCAGUAAGCAAGCUAGCCCUUCCUUAUGCAGCUUCCCUCCUAAGCCGAAAACCCUUUUAUGGUCCAUGACCAUGCUUUGAAGUUACUUAGCUCUCGCCCUAGUGAUUGCCCCUUUGAAGGGUGGUGGUGCUCCAUGACGAUCCUCAUCAAUUUCUAGCUUGUCCAUUAGGUAGAGUUCUUAUGAUAUUAUAAAUGUUUUAUUUUUGUAUUUGAUUUUAGUUUUAAAUAAUUUUAAAAUUGUAAGAAUCAUUUUAUUUAAAUAAUUUUAAUAUAUAUAUUUAUUAUAGACAGACACCUUUAAAUAAUUUUGUUUUCUAUUUUACGUGCUUCUAAAAAUAUUAUUAAGAAUGGUGUUUUUAAAAGCAAAUGAUUACAUAUUUUUUGAAAAUACUAUUGGGAGUAGUGUUUUCAAAAAUAUAUGGUUAUAUGCUCCUAAAAAUGUCAAUGAAAAUUGCGUUUUCGAAAAACAUAUGCCUGUAUUUUCUACCGAAAAGUUAUUGAUUUGAUCUGUCAAGAAAAAAUUUUUUUCCAAUGGCAUUUUCUUAAGUAAACAGUAAUUUUGAAAUUGUUUCAAAACAAUAUUAGAUUUAUAAAUACUUUUUAUUUUUAUAUUUUUUAAUAAUUAAUCCCUUAUAGCAUUCAUGCAUGUUUUUGCUUUUGGGCCAGAUCUCUCAUUUAGGACUAUGCUAUUUAUUUUUAAUUUGGAGUUUGUCACUCAAAAUCAAAAUUAAAUUAAAUUUUUAAUAUGACUCCAAUUAGAUUUUUCAUUAUUUUAUUCCCAAUAGAUAAAAAAAAAUAAUCUAAAACUUGUAAUAUAAUUAUGUAAUUACAGAAUCCAAAACUGAAAAAUUAAGUUGAAGUUAUAAUUCAAG
rnacentral:misc_RNA from 1 species